CUACGUGCCAGCAGCCGCGGUAAUACGUAUGUCACAAGCGUUAUCCGGAUUUAUUGGGCGUAAAGCGCGUCUAGGUGGUUAUGUAAGUCUGAUGUGAAAAUGCAGGGCUCAACUCUGUAUUGCGUUGGAAACUGCAUGACUAGAGUACUGGAGAGGUAAGCGGAACUACAAGUGUAGAGGUGAAAUUCGUAGAUAUUUGUAGGAAUGCCGAUGGGGAAGCCAGCUUACUGGACAGAUACUGACGCUAAAGCGCGAAAGCGUGGGUAGCAAACAGGAUUAGAUACCCUGGUAGUCCACGCCGUAAACGAUGAUUACUAGGUGUUGGGGGUCGAACCUCAGCGCCCAAGCUAACGCGAUAAGUAAUCCGCCUGGGGAGUACGUACGCAAGUAUGAAACUCAAAGGAAUUGACGGGGGCCCGCACAAGCGGAGGAACAUGUGGUUUAAUUCGAUGAUACGCGAGGAACCUUACCCGGGCUUGAAC
rnacentral:rRNA from 1 species